UAUUUUUGCAUCCGAAUUAUGAUAAACAUAAUUCAUACAUAAAAAUCAUUUACAAAAAUAUUAGCAUG
rnacentral:ncRNA from 1 species